rnacentral:misc_RNA from 1 species
AACGCAUCUUGCGCUCCUUGGUAUUCCGAGGAGCAUGCCUGUUUGAGUGUCAUUAAAUUCUCAACUCUCUUAUACUGUUUUGUAUACGAGAGCUUGGAUUGUGGAGGUUUGCUGGCUUUGCAGUCAGCUCCUCUGAAAUGCAUUAGCGGAACCGUUUGCGAUCUGCCACAAGUGUGAUAAAUUAUCUACACUGGCGAGGGGAUUGCUCUGUAUUGUUCAGCUUCCAAUUGUCUCUGUGAGACUAACUAUUUGAAUACUUGACCUCAAAUCAGGUAGGACUACCCGCUGAACUUAA